UGUGUCCCCAUACUUCCACUUGAUUUAAAUAUAUGCGUUAUAUGUACUAUUGUGUCAUUUUAAUUUCUAUUUCUUCUGCAUUUUAUUUAAAAUAUUGUAAAAAAAAAAUGCAUUCAUGUUCUCCUAUACAACAUUUCAAUGCAAUCUAUGUGCAAGUGUAUUAAAGACAUACCCAGUUUGUAUUUUAUAAACACCAUUUUUAAAAUAAAAAAAGAUAUACUGU
rnacentral:misc_RNA from 1 species